UACAGAGGGUGCGAGCGUUAAUCGGAAUUACUGGGCGUAAAGCGCGCGUAGGCGGCUCUGCAAGUCGGGUGUGAAAUCCCCGGGCUCAACCUGGGAACUGCAUUCGAGACUGCAUUGCUUGAGUAUGGGAGAGGGAGGCGGAAUUUCAGGUGUAGCGGUGAAAUGCGUAGAUAUCUGAAGGAACAUCAGUGGCGAAAGCGGCCUCCUGGACCAAUACUGACGCUCAUGUGCGAAAGCGUGGGGAGCAAACAGG
rnacentral:rRNA from 1 species